CAUUCAUGUGACAUGGAAUUUUAAACACAUACCCCAACCAUAUACACAUUAUCAAAACCUGAAUUUGACAGAGUGACAAGAUAAUUUUUAGCAAUGCCAAUGGUGCAAAUCUAUAGAUAAGGGUUCUCUCUGUACUUCUACAAAAUACAAAUUGAAUUGGUGCAAUCCAUUAACGAUACAUUUCCACGGCACACAGAAAAUAAACAGAGACUGAAGAAAUUGUGCAAACAAAAUUUAGAAAAAACCUAAGAAGUGGCUUAGACCCAUUUCCCGAGUAUGAAUAAAUAGAAUGCUAAAAAAAUGCAUCCAAACAAAAAGAAGGAAAAAAAUAAAUAAAUAACUGGUAGAAAAAAAAUGAACGACACUUACAAAUUCAUCCACGCCUUCUACUGGAGAAACUUGGCGAAUCAAACAAUCGAAUACCUAUAAAGCUUCUGCCCAUGAUCUGCAAUCGGGUGUUGUUGUAGCCAGAGUACGGGGUGAGUUAAGAAAAAGAAAGAAAUUCAGCCUUUGGGUUGAUGCAACCAAUUUUUCAAUUCAAUUUUUUUUAAAGAAGUUGAGCAAAAGUUAUCAGAAAAGAGGAGGCGUGAAUUUUCGGUGGCGCCGUCGUCGGAGUGCGACGGUAGAAAAGGUGAGAGAGAGAAAUUGAAAUGUAUUCUGUACAUCCACUGUUUAUGGUAUUAGGAAAUAAAAGGUUGGGC
rnacentral:lncRNA from 1 species